AAAAAAAAAAACCAAAAAAGUAAAAAAAUUAAUAGAAAUAAUCAUCAUUAUCAUCAUUGUUAAAACUUAUAAAUACUUAAGUGGUUAGUUAAAAUACACUUUAAAUAGAAUGCACUGUAAAUACUAAGCUGCUGCAAAUGUUAUUAGACUUAAUUGAGUCGCUGUUGGAGCUUUCACAGCUUGUGAGAAGUGUGUAGACUCUAAUGUUUUAAUGUUUUAAUUUUCCAGUUUCAAGUCUGUCCGGCUUUUUUUUUUUGUUUUUUUGUUUUUUUUUUUGUUAAAUAGAUAAACACACUCAUCCUCGUAGAUAUGAUAGAUCGAUUAAAACAUUUAUAGAACAAUUAUUUAUUAAUUUGUUAAACAAGUCUUGGAAGUGCACAUAUGUAGCUUCUUGCUGACAUUACAAAUAAUUCCACUCAGCCGAACGAAGGUUGGCUGCUGAAAAAAAAAAAUCGUGUACAGUUUUAUUUUUCUUAAAAAUGCCUUAAAAAAUCCGAAACAUGGGUAUUUUUCUGUCUAUACAUGCAUACAUCUAUAUAUAUUUAAGCAAUGCUGCUUCCUAUUUUGAAAGAAACUAUCAAAGUAGGCGCUGAUCUACAUGAAUGGCAUUAGCGAUAUAUAUAAAAUUCCCCCAUUACUAUACCACCAACUGGUCGUCGUAAAUCUUGCAGCAGCAUAUUUUUCUUUUGCUAAAAUAAAUUUUUUUUUUUUUUUUUUUUUUGUUUACAGAAAGACUUUCGUUUAAGUGUAUUUAGAUAUUUUAUAACAUAACACACAAACAUAUGUAGGACUUACAAAUUUUUCCAAUUUUGUUCUUUUCUACAUACACAUACUGAACUCACGCGACUUAACCGAACUGUACUAAAACCAAACAAAAAUAACGUAAUAGAAAAAAUAAUAAUAAAAAAAUAUAGAAAAACAAAAAUUAUCUAAAAAUAAUGUUAAAAAUCGAACAAUUAGAGCAUUACAAAAUAUAACCGUUUAAAAUCUUUUCUUUAGUGAUACUUGAGUGAAUAAAAAAAAACUUUUUUCAAUAAACUACUUACCUGCAUCACCACACUCUAAACACUCUUUGCAAUUUCAUGAAUUUUUCACAUUUUUUCUUUUAUUAUUUACAAAAAAAAAAAAACAAUUUUUUUUUACAUGUAUCUAUGCAAGAGAUCGCAAAUUUAAUUUAUAUGAAUAUAAUCUGUACAAUCUAUGCUGAAUUAGCAUAUCAUGUGUUUUCUCGGGAAUUUUCGCUUUAUGUCUUUAACAUCAUUUAAAUAAAUAUCCGUUUUUAAGAAAAAGGUGUGUAAUUAAAUUUUUCAUCUCGUCCAUCUCUAUUUAAUAUUUCCAUUGUUCUCUUAUUAUGAAUUCAGUCCGUAUCUCAUAAAAAUUGUCGAUACAUUUUUAGCCUUCUUGUUGUGGCAUCAAGCUAAUAUUUUUAUUUAGAUUUUAUAUCUUUUACCGAAUAAUGCUGCUGAAAACGUUUGUAACAUCCGGGAAGGAGUUUCACAAACUCUAUACUAAUACUGGAAUCAAUUUAGACUUGUCAGCCUGUCUGUCCGUAGAAGUUGCUGAAUGCAGUUUGGUAUUAAAAAUGCAUCAAGUUCUGAAUCGAUGAAGGCGUGUCGCCACCUAUCUCCUCUUGUAUGGCUAUCAUUCCCCUGAUUGCAAAAUUAGAAGUUUCUGAACGCACGUUUACUAUUGAAAAUGGCCAAAAUCAAUUAGAGGGCACGCCUACAACCUGUUAUAAGCUAUUAUUUAACUUGCUUUCUUUUGCCUAUUACUCAUGAAAUAGAAUAAUUGUAAGCGUGUACAAAAAUGGGGAAAAAAAAUAAGUGAACACGCAGGCAACAUUAUAGAGUAGCGAGAUUGAUUUCAUUGUCUUCGAGUUUUUUUUUUUUUUUUUUUUUUUGGUUUAAGUUAAAGUUAAACGUUUAAGUGGAAAAUUAAGCCACCGAUCGAAUAUCAUUUUCUUGCUUUGUGCUAUUCUUCAAAGUAAAAAUACAAAAACUUGAAUUGGUUACAGACGUCCCUUAUAUAACAUGGUACUUGUAAAAUACGGUUUCGAUAUUACAUGGUACAAAAUUUGCGGUUACUGUAAGGCAGUUUUCAUAUAACACGGUUUCAAAAACUUAAAUACUUAUUCCUCAUCACCUAGAAAAAUAUUUUGGGCGUACAAUUAAGUUUUACGAUUUCCUUAAAAAAUUUUCCAAAAUGCGAAAAUUUUGCGAAAUUUUGCGGAUUAAUAGGGAAGAUAUUUCGAUGCUUUUGCUUUCUCCCCAAAAAGUUGUAUCGUUUACCCUAUUGAUUAUAUUGAUGCAAGACGAACGAAAGGAGAGAACAUUAAAAUUGUUUUCUUGCUUUUCAUUUUUAUUUUAUUAUUUUCUAAACACAUCUUUUUUUUUUUUUUUUUUUUUUUUCUAAGAGUGUGUGUGUAUAGUUGGUAAGUUCAUUUAUCAUUAAUUUGUAUGAUUGAUUUAUGAAAAUUUAUGUGGUAACAUCAGGAUAUGUGUGCGAAAUGAUUUGUUUGCUUUUCUAUAAAAAUAAAAUUAUAUUUGAAAGGAUAGCUUUAAGUAAUUAACAAACAACAGCAACAACAGCAAUAGAAAAUAGUGGUAUAACGUCGAAAGCGAAUAAUAACUUAUGCUGCACUUGAAGAAGAUGUGCAUUCUUCUACGUCUAGUCCUUCCAUAUCACCAGAGAUGGACAAAACAACCACCACCAUCAAUUUCAAUCAAUUAAACGAAGGCAGUAUAUUUGUGAGUGUGUCUGUGUGUGAUUGUGAACUGCUUGAUGUUUUACUUUAAUAAUAAAUAUAGUUUUUGUCAAAUUUCUUGAAGAGUGAAUGAUAUGAUGAGCGAGCCCCCCUAAGGAAACUUACAUUUAAAUAAAUCAUUUAUCACAAAUAAUAUAAAGAAAAGCAAGUAUGACGUGUGUUGUUGUCAAAUUUAAAUGCAAAUGAGCAAAUGAAUCUAAAUGUAUUGAGAGUGCUGCUGAAUGGCGCGCGGAUGUUGUCUAUCCAUUCCAAGUGUGUUUCGAUUAAUCAAUGAAAUGAAAAACAAAUUGUGUGACUGCGUUUUAAUGCAACAAAGGAAAAAAAAAAAUUAAAAAAAACCAAAAAAACUAUGUGCCUGCAUGAAUCUAUUAUGCAUACAGAUAGACAGGACCGACAGAAUGAAUUACAAGUUCGACAUGCUGGUAGUAAGUAAUAAAAGGUUUAACUUUUUAUUUAAGAAUAAACACAAUAACGGACCAAAUGACUUAACAGAAAAUCAAAAACAAAAAAAAAAAAAAAGACAAAAAAAAAAAACGAAAAGAUAUUUUGGAAAAUAUAAAACAAAGAUAUCACUGAGAAGAUCGUUAAGUAAUACAUAAAAAACAUACUGCAACGAAUAAACUGAUAUACUUUAACGCAAUUAAUAAUUAAGUAUUUUUUAUCGCUAUGAUACUAACAGCUAAACAACAACAACAACAACAACCUGGACUAGUUAAGACAGUUUUAUCUAAUUUUUUUUAUUUUUUUAUUAUUUUUUUUUAUUGUAUAUGAACAUGUAGUUUUUGCAAGAAGAAGACGUCUGUUAUGUAACUGAUGAGUGAUGAUGAUUGCUGUGUAUGCAUUCGCAUGAAAUAUUAUUAACGAAUACAAUUAAAAUAAACAAUCUGCUCCGUUGUAUGAGUGUUUUAGUAUUAAAAUCAUCAACAUUUUCGAGUUUAAAUGAGCAAAACUAUAUAAGAAAAUUUAAAAUAGGUUUGUGUGAAAUCGCGUGCGUUAUGGUAUGUUGUGGACAAACUUUUAAUGAAUAAAUAUAUAAAAUUUAAGCGAUUGUAUGAUUGUGUGACUG